rnacentral:rRNA from 1 species
GUGAGGAAUAUUGCGCAAUGGAGGCAACUCUGACGCAGCCAUGCCGCGUGCAGGAAGAAGGCGCUACGCGUUGUAAACUGCUUUUAACCGGGAAGAAACCCCAGGACGUGUCCUGGGUUGACGGUACCGGAGGAAUAAGCACCGGCUAACUUCGUGCCAGCAGCCGCGGUAAUACGAAGGGUGCAAGCGUUAUCCGGAUUCAUUGGGAUUAAAGGGUGCGUAGGCGGAGCGUUAAGUCAGGGGUGAAAUCCUGCAGCUUAACUGUAGACUUGCCAUUGAUACUGGCGCUCUUGAGUGCGCUUGAAGUGGGCGGAAUGUGCCGUGUAGCGGUGAAAUGCUUAGAUAUGGCACAGAACACCAAUUGCGAAGGCAGCUCACUAAGGCGAUACUGACGCUGAGGCACGAAAGCGUGGGGAUCGAACAGGAUUAGAAACCCGGGUAGUCC